CUAUAUUACAGCUGGCCUUGAAUUCUAGGAUGCUUUGCAUUCAGGAGCAGUGAGGUGUUUGCUUUUGGGAGACAGUCCUGUCAUGAGGUUCAUCAAGUUUUCCGUAAGCAGGAAAUCCUGGAGUUUCUGCCUCAUACAGGAUUCUCUCGCAACAGGACCGUGCUAGCUCUGGUAAUCAACUCACUGAUCUCCAAAUUACUGAGAUGCUGACCAAAAAAUACUUGGCAUGGAACUCUAAACAUCAAGACAUGAGCAGCCAGUUGAAUGGAGAAGUUUGGAAAAAAAACAUUUGUCCUCAUUCAUGAACUACUUGUUCAAAUUCAGUACCAACAUCACUGCAACCAAAGAACAGAUUGGUAAAAAUCUAUUACCUGCCUACUUGCUCAUUUGUGUUUAAGGUGGAGGUAUUAAAUAGGUCAUAUUUAAUCCCAGCUGGAACAAGGAUGAUUGCAUAACCAAGUAGGAAAAUAGCAGAACAGCUAGACCCAUCAGAAGAAGGGUCUAGGCCCGAAACGUCAACUUUCCUGCUCCUCUGAUGCUGCUUGGCCUGCUGUGUUCAUCCAGCUCUACACCUUGUUAUCUCAGAUUCUCCAGCAUCUGCAGUUCCUACUGUCUCUGAAACAAUCAUAAUGGCACUUCGUUUUAAAAUACCAAUCAUAGAAUAUCGAGUCCUGUUGAAUCUGUACUGCCAAAGAUACACUAUGUCGACACUAGAUCCACUUUUCUGUAGCCUUGAAUGUUAUGACACUUGAAGUGCUCGUCUUUUAAAGGUUGUGAGAUUGCCUGUCUCAACUACCCUCCCAGGGAGUGUGUUCCAGACCCCCACCAAUCUCUGGGUGAAAAAGGGUUUCUCUAAAUCUCCUCCAAACAUCUUGUCUUUCACCUUAAAAUUAUGCCACCUUGUUAUUGACCCUUCAACUAAGGGGAACUGAUCCUUUCUAUUCACCCUGUCAAUGCACUUCAUAAUCUUAUACACCUCUAUCACGUACACCCCCACCCCCACCCUCUCUGCUCCAAAGACGACGACCCGAAUUAUCCAGCAUCUUUUCGUAGCUGAAAUGCUUCAGUCCAGGCAACAUCCUGGUCAUUCUCCUCUGCAUCCCCUCCACUGCAAUUGCAUCUUUCUUAUAGCACAAUGAACCAAACGGCACAUAGUACUCCGGCUGUGACCUAAUCAGAGUUCUGUACGGCUCCGACAUGACCUCCCUCCUUUUACAAUCUAUGUCUCGACUCCUAAAGGCAAGUGCCCCAUGUGCCUUAUGAACCCAAUUAGCCUAUUCUGCCACCUUCAAGGAUCUGUGGAUAAGCAUUUAAGAUCCCUCGGAGCGUCCUACUAUCCUGCCAUUCAUUCAGUAUCUUGUCUUAUUAUUUCUUCCAAAGUGCAAGAGAUUUAUCAAGGUUAAAUUCCAUAUGCUACUGAUCUGCCCAUCCAAUCUGUCCAGAUAUUCCUGUAACUUAGAAUUUUCCACCUCACUGUCAACCACCCAAUCAUUGCUCCCAUAUUCUUAUUUACAUAAUUCAUGAAUAUUGCAAUCAAUAAGGGAUCCACUGAUCCUGGUGGCAUGCCACUGGACAUCAGCCUCCAGUCACAUAAGGAGCCUUCUACCAACACUCUCUGUCUCCUACCCUAAGCCAAGUUUGAAACAAACUUGCUAAGUUACCAUGGAUUCCAUGUGGAGCUUUGUCAAAGGCCUUGCUGAAAUCCAAACAAACUGUAACAGCUCUACCCUUAUCUAAACACUUGGUGAGCUUGAGAAAUUCAAUCAAAUUCAUUAGGCAUGACCUUCCUCUGACAAAGUCAUGUUGACUAUCCGUGAUCAAACCUGGCCGAUCUAAAUGGAGAUUAAUUUUCUCUUUCACUACUUUUUCCCCCAACAGUUUCCUGACAGCUGAUGUGCCCACUCCAGCUUUUACAUACACAAUGCUCAAUGUAUUGUCCAAUGAGCUGCAAUCAUCCCUUUAUGUUGACUUUCAAUCCUAUGCUUCCCUAAAUUUUUCUCUGCUGGCUUCACAGCGAUUAAAGGUUCUCCUCUUGG